rnacentral:rRNA from 1 species
CAGUAGCCGGGGGAAUACAGAGGGUGCGAGCGUUAAUCGGAUUUACUGGGCGUAAAGCGUGCGUAGGCGGCUUUUUAAGUCGGAUGUGAAAUCCCUGAGCUUAACUUAGGAAUUGCAUUCGAUACUGGGAAGCUAGAGUAUGGGAGAGGAUGGUAGAAUUCCAGGUGUAGCGGUGAAAUGCGUAGAGAUCUGGAGGAAUACCGAUGGCGAAGGCAGCCAUCUGGCCUAAUACUGACGCUGAGGUACGAAAGCAUGGGGAGCAAACAGGAUUAGAUACCCGAGUAGUCCCUGUCUCUUAUAC